CUCUGAUGGAGUUUCACCAGUAAGCCUGGGAUAUGGGUCAUGACAGUGAACGACAGGCCAUCAUUGCUAGUGCCCUAUGACCAAAGGUGAUUUGCUGGACUGGGGUGCAAGGUUCUCUUCCAGAGGAAAUGUUGAAGAACCUUUGCCACA